UUUCCAUUUAUUGUAAUUAGU
rnacentral:piRNA from 1 species